UUUUAUGGAGAGUUUGAUCCUGGCUCAGAGUGAACGCUGGCGGCGUGCCUAAUACAUGCAAGUCGAACGAUGAAGCUUCUAGCUUGCUAGAAUGCUGAUUAGUGGCGCACGGGUGAGUAACGCAUAGGUCAUGUGCCUCUUAGUUUGGGAUAGCCAUUGGAAACGAUGAUUAAUACCAGAUACUCCCUACGGGGGAAAGAUUUAUCGCUAAGAGAUCAGCCUAUGUCCUAUCAGCUUGUUGGUAAGGUAAUGGCUUACCAAGGCUAUGACGGGUAUCCGGCCUGAGAGGGUGAACGGACACACUGGAACUGAGACACGGUCCAGACUCCUACGGGAGGCAGCAGUAGGGAAUAUUGCUCAAUGGGGGAAACCCUGAAGCAGCAACGCCGCGUGGAGGAUGAAGGUUUUAGGAUUGUAAACUCCUUUUGUUAGAGAAGAUAAUGACGGUAUCUAACGAAUAAGCACCGGCUAACUCCGUGCCAGCAGCCGCGGUAAUACGGAGGGUGCAAGCGUUACUCGGAAUCACUGGGCGUAAAGAGCGCGUAGGCGGGAUAGUCAGUCAGGUGUGAAAUCCUAUGGCUUAACCAUAGAACUGCAUUUGAAACUACUAUUCUAGAGUGUGGGAGAGGUAGGUGGAAUUCUUGGUGUAGGGGUAAAAUCCGUAGAGAUCAAGAGGAAUACUCAUUGCGAAGGCGACCUGCUGGAACAUUACUGACGCUGAUUGCGCGAAAGCGUGGGGAGCAAACAGGAUUAGAUACCCUGGUAGUCCACGCCCUAAACGAUGGAUGCUAGUUGUUGGAGGGCUUAGUCUCUCCAGUAAUGCAGCUAACGCAUUAAGCAUCCCGCCUGGGGAGUACGGUCGCAAGAUUAAAACUCAAAGGAAUAGACGGGGACCCGCACAAGCGGUGGAGCAUGUGGUUUAAUUCGAAGAUACACGAAGAACCUUACCUAGGCUUGACAUUGAGAGAAUCCGCUAGAAAUAGUGGAGUGUCUGGCUUGCCAGACCUUGAAAACAGGUGCUGCACGGCUGUCGUCAGCUCGUGUCGUGAGAUGUUGGGUUAAGUCCCGCAACGAGCGCAACCCCCUUUCUUAGUUGCUAACAGGUCAUGCUGAGAACUCUAAGGAUACUGCCUCCGUAAGGAGGAGGAAGGUGGGGACGACGUCAAGUCAUCAUGGCCCUUACGCCUAGGGCUACACACGUGCUACAAUGGGGUGCACAAAGAGAAGCAAUACUGCGAAGUGGAGCCAAUCUUCAAAACACCUCUCAGUUCGGAUUGUAGGCUGCAACUCGCCUGCAUGAAGCUGGAAUCGCUAGUAAUCGCAAAUCAGCCAUGUUGCGGUGAAUACGUUCCCGGGUCUUGUACUCACCGCCCGUCACACCAUGGGAGUUGUGUUUGCCUUAAGUCAGGAUGCUAAAUUAGCUACUGCCCACGGCACACACAGCGACUGGGGUGAAGUCGUAACAAGGUAACCGUAGGUGAACCUGCGGUUGGAUCACCUCCUUUCUAGA
rnacentral:rRNA from 1 species